UACGUAGGGGGCAAGCGUUGUCCGGAUUUCUUGGGCGUAAAGGGCGUGUAGGCGGUUUGGUAGGUCCGCUGUGAAAACUCGAGGCUCAACCUCGAGACGUCGGUUGAAACCGUACGGCUAGAGUCCGGAAGAGGAGAGUGGAAUUCCCGGUGUAGCGGUGAAAUGCGCAGAUAUCGGGAAGAACACCCGUGGCGAAGGCGGCUCUCUGGGACGGUACUGACGCUGAGACGCGAAAGCGUGGGGAGCGAACAGG
rnacentral:rRNA from 1 species